AAUAUCAGCUAAUAAUCAACUGUAAAGUAGCUACACCUUUUAAAGGAUCCCUUGGUAAAUCAGCCUCUGCGGUAGAAAGUGAAAUUGUAGAAAGAAAAAAAAAGUUAACACCAACAUUUAGAGGCAAAAUCCAUUGUUACGUCUACAAAAUUAUUUUAGUUAUAGUAUAAGUUCAAGUUCAAGUCACCACUACCUCUGGUGAUACACUGCGCACUGGCGUGCAACGUAUUACUUUGUAUUAUGGAGUCUGGAGAUCCUUUUUUCUUGUUGAAGGGGAAAUCUAUUGUUGGGACACGUUUGUUUCUACUGAAUUCUAUUAAUGUUGAUAGUGUUUGGAUGCUUUCAAUGGUUUGUUUAAAUUCUAUAUUAGCAAAACACAAACAAAAGAAUUAUAAAAUGAUAAAUCUUUACCCGGACAAGUGACUUUUGUGCAUGGACAAGUGAAACAUAAAUGUACUUGUCCAAAGGACAAGUGCCUCAAAAAGUUAAUGUCAAGCCCUGUGUUGCAUAAUUAUUAAC